CCUACGGGUGGCAGCAGUGAGGAAUAUUGGUCAAUGGGCGCGAGCCUGAACCAGCCAAGCAGCGUGAAGGAAGACUGCCCUACGGGUUGUAAACUGCUUUUAUAAAGGAAUAAAGUGAGGCACGUGUGCCUUUUUGUAUGUACCUUAUGAAUAAGGAUCGGCUAACUCCGUGCCAGCAGCCGCGGUAAUACGGAGGAUCCGAGCGUUGCCGGGUUUAUUGGGUUUAAAGGGUGCGUAGAUGGGUUGUUAAGUCAGUUGUGAAAGUUUGCGGCUCAACCGUAAAAUUGCAAUUGAUACUGGUAGUCUUGAGGACAGUUGAGGUAGGCGGAAUGCGUGGUGUAGCGGUGAAAUGCUUAGAUAUCACGCAGAACUCCGAUUGCGAAGGCAGCUUACUAAGCUGCCUCUGACAUUGAGGCUCGAAAGUGUGGGUAGCAAACAGGAUUAGAUACCCGGGUAGUC
rnacentral:rRNA from 1 species